AUUGAACGCUGGCGGCAGGCCUCACACAUGCAAGUCGAACGAGUGGCGGACGGGUGAGUAAUGUCUGGGAAUCUGCCCGAUGGAGGGGGAUAACUACUGGAAACAGUAGCUAAUCCCGCAUACCAUCGGAUGAGCCCAGAUGGGAUUAGCUUGUAGGUGGGGUAACGGCUCACCUAGGCGACGAUCCCUAGCUGGUCUGAGAGGAUGACCAGCCAAACUGGAACUGAGACACGGGCCAGACUCCUACGGGAGGCAGCAGUGGGGAAUAUGGCACAAUGGGCGCAAGCCUGAUGCAGACAUGCCGCGUGUAUGAAGAAGGCCUUCGGGUUGUAAAGUACUUUCAGCGAGGAGGCGUUACUCGCAGAAGAAGCACCGGCUAACUCCGUGCCAGCAGCCGCGGUAAUUC
rnacentral:rRNA from 1 species